UCCGAUAUGGUGUAGUGGCUAACAUUAUCGCCUCUCACGCGAUAGCCCGGGGUUCGAUUCUCCGUGUCGGAA
rnacentral:tRNA from 2 species